rnacentral:rRNA from 1 species
GACGAACGCUGGCGGCGUGCCUAAUACAUGCAAGUAGAACGCUGAAGGAGGAGCUUGCUUCUCUGGAUGAGUUGCGAACGGGUGAGUAACGCGUAGGUAACCUGCCUGGUAGCGGGGGAUAACUAUUGGAAACGAUAGCUAAUACCGCAUAAUAGCAGUUGUUGCAUGAUAACUGUUUGAAAGGUGCAAUUGCACCACUACCAGAUGGACCUGCGUUGUAUUAGCUAGUUGGUGGGGUAACGGCUCACCAAGGCGACGAUACAUAGCCGACCUGAGAGGGUGAUCGGCCACACUGGGACUGAGACACGGCCCAGACUCCUACGGGAGGCAGCAGUAGGGAAUCUUCGGCAAUGGACGGAAGUCUGACCGAGCAACGCCGCGUGAGUGAAGAAGGUUUUCGGAUCGUAAAGCUCUGUUGUAAGAGAAGAACGAGUGUGAGAGUGGAAAGUUCACACUGUGACGGUAUCUGACCAGAAAGGGACGGCUAACUACGUG